GCUUUUAAUUUUUAACUUUGAAAGUUAAUUUUUGCUGCCAAUGCUAAAAGCU
rnacentral:tRNA from 1 species